GUACUGUGCAGUAAUGCUGGUUACUGCAUAGUUAUUUAGUACUUGCUUAUGCAAGUACUAAAUAACUGUGAAAUAACAACUGCGCAGUCAGCAUCUCAUUAGAU